CUUGGUCAUUUAGAGGAAGUAAAAGUCGUAACAAGGUUUCCGUAGGUGAACCUGCGGAAGGAUCAUUAAUGAAUCACAAGUCGACCGUUCUGUGCUGGUGGCAACACAUGUGCACGUCGGUCGCAAAUCCACACACCUGUGCACCUUUGACUUUGAGAUCCGCCGGUCUUUUGACUUGCAGCAGGUCGGCUUUGUGCCGUCCUGGGUCUCAGAGUACUUUUACACACUCUGAAUGUAAUGGAAUGUCUCUGUGCUUAACGCGCAUAUAAACAACUUUCAACAACGGAUCUCUUGGCUCUCGCAUCGAUGAAGAACGCAGCGAAAUGCGAUAAGUAUUGUGAAUUGCAGAAUUCAGUGAAUCAUCGAAUCUUUGAACGCACCUUGCACCCCUUGGUAUUCCGAGGGGUACACCCGUUUGAGUGUCAUUGUAAUCUCACUCCGACAGCUUUGUUGAUGUCUGGAGGUGGACCUGGACCCUGCCGUGUCACAACGGCUGGUCUGAAAUGCGUGAGUGCACCCUGCUGUAGCAGCGUCUUCAGUGUGAUAAGUAUCUUCACUGAUUCAAGCUCCUUUGGGACAUGCUCGUCUGGUGGGCUCUGCGCUUCCAACCGUCUCUUGUAGACAAACCUUGACAAUUUGACCUCAAAUCGGGUGGGAUUACCCGCUGAACUUAAGCAUAUCAAUAAGCGGAGGAAAUCG
rnacentral:rRNA from 1 species